GACGAACGCUGGCGGCGUGCUUAACACAUGCAAGUCGAACGGAAAGGCCCUGCUUUUGUGGGGUGCUCGAGUGGCGAACGGGUGAGUAACACGUGAGUAACCUGCCCUUGACUUUGGGAUAACUUCAGGAAACUGGGGCUAAUACCGGAUAGGAGCUCCUGCUGCAUGGUGGGGGUUGGAAAGUUUCGGCGGUUGGGGAUGGACUCGCGGCUUAUCAGCUUGUUGGUGGGGUAGUGGCUUACCAAGGCUUUGACGGGUAGCCGGCCUGAGAGGGUGGCCGGCCACAUUGGGACUGAGAUACGGCCCAGACUCCUACGAGAGGCAGCAGUGGGGAAUAUUGCACAAUGGGCGGAAGCCUGAUGCAGCAACGCCGCGUGCGGGAUGACGGCCUUCGGGUUGUAAACCGCUUUUGCCUGUGACGAAGCGUGAGUGACGGUAAUGGGUAAAGAAGCACCGGCUAACUACGUG
rnacentral:rRNA from 1 species